UACGGGGGGUGCAAGCGUUAUCCGGAUUCACGGGGUUUAAAGGGUGCGUAGGAGGGCAGGUAAGUCAGGGGUGAAAUCCCCGAGCUUAACUUGGGAACUGCCGUUGAUACUAUCUGUCUUGAAUACCGUGGAGGUGAGCGGAAUAUGUCAUGUAGCGGUGAAAUGCUUAGAUAUGACAUAGAACACCAAUUGCGAAGGCAGCUCGCUACACGAAUAUUGACUCUGAGGCACGAAAGCGUGGGGAUCAAACAGG
rnacentral:rRNA from 1 species